AGUCAGGCCUCUGAGAAGAGGGAUUUAUGUGCAACAUCAUCACAAUCUUAAGAAACUGUCUUCACAACAGUUUCUACCUCCAGCAGGUGAUGGAGAUCACAGAAGCACGGAGAAGUUAUCUAAAUUCAUCGCCUCUAAUCAACCGAACACCGCCAUCCAUUUCCCCCGAGUAGCCAGUGCACAGCUGGCUUCACUCAGCAAUUAGCCACCCAACAGUUGUUGAAGAGCUGCCCACUCCUUCGGUGUGGAGAAGCUUCAGUGCUGUGUGGUGGGCUUGGGCGUCUGAGUCUGAACGCCAAACCUGCACAGGCCUAAGAGCAGGUGGUGCCUGGUUACUACCAUAUGAUGAUGAAGCAUACUCAACAAAAGGGAUAUGGAGAAACCAAAACCUUUCUAACUAGAGGAUAUGUGCCGUGUAUCGUUAUUUGUUUUAUUUUUUUUGUUUGUAGUCAGUUUACAAGUUACUGCUAAAUGUAUAUAUACCUCAGAUUUCUCAUGUUAUUUGGACUACUGUCAUCCUUCUGUGGUCUUUGAACUGAAACUGAUUAAAAGGCAACAGCAAGCCCUUUUUAAGUGACUGACUCCAGCAUUGUUAGAAUGUUGCACUUUAUGUAAACUGUACUGUCUCACUGUUGUCCAGCAUGAACAAUAAAAUAAAUAGAAUAAUCCAGAAUUCUUCUGUAGUUGCAGUUGCAUCAUGUAUGAUGU